rnacentral:rRNA from 1 species
CAGUCGCCACGGUAAUACGAGGGGUGCAAGCGUUAUUCGGAUUGAUUGGGUGUAAAGGGUGUGCAGACGGCUUAUUAAGUCACUUGUUAAAUUCUUCGGCCUAACUGAAGGUCUGCAAGUGAUACUGAUGAGCUAGAGGGUGGAAGAGAGAAGUGGAAUUCUCGGAGUAGCGGUAAAAUGCGUAGAUCUCGAGAGGAACACCAAUGGCGAAGGCAGCUUCUUGGUCCAUUCCUGACGUUCAUACACGAAAGCUAGGGGAGCAAAUGGGAUUAGAUACCCGGGUAGUCCCUGUCUCUUAUAC